GACGAACGCUGGCGGCGUGCUUAACACAUGCAAGUCGAACGAAGUGGCGAACGGGUGAGUAAUACGUGGGUAACCUGCCCUCCUUUUUGGGAUAAGCCUUGGAAACGGGGUCUAAUACCGAAGAAAGGGGGAUGGACUCGCGGCCUAUCAGCUUGUUGGUGGGGUGAUGGCGUAGCAAGGCGGUGACGGGUAGCCGGCCUGAGAUGGUGACCGGCGACAAUGGGACUGAGAUACGGCGCAGACGCCUACGGGACGCAGCAGUUGGGGGUAUUGGACGAUGGGCGAAAGCCUGAUGCAGCGACGCCGCGUGGGGGAUGCAGGCUUUGGGGUUGGAAACCUCUUUCGCGAUAGAACGGGUAGGUGGAGAAGAAGCGCCGGCUAACUACGUGCCAGCAGCCGCGGUAAUUC
rnacentral:rRNA from 1 species